CUGUUGGACUAUUUCGUUGGUUUCUAGGACAAGAGUAAUGAUUAAUAGGGAUAGUUGGGGGCAUUCGUAUUUAAUUGUCAGAGGUGAAAUUCUUAGAUUUAUGAAAGACGAACUUCUGCGAAAGCAUUUGCCAAGGAUGUUUUCAUUAAUCAAGAACGAAAGUUAGGGGAUCGAAGACGAUCAGAUACCGUCGUAGUCUUAACCAUAAACUAUGCCGACUAGGGAUUGGCGGAUGUUCCAUAUACGACUCCUUCAGCACCUUUAGCGAAAGCAAAGUUUUUGGGUUCCGGGGGGAGUAUGGUCGCAAGGCUGAAACUUAAAGGAAUUGACGGAAGGGCACCACCAGGAGUGGAGCCUGCGGCUUAAUUUGACUCAACACGGGGAAACUCA
rnacentral:rRNA from 1 species